rnacentral:tRNA from 1 species
GGGGAUGUAGCUCAGCGGGAGAGCGCUUGCUUCGCAUGUAAGAGCCCCUGGGUUCAACCCCCAGCAUCUCCA